CACGUAGGCUGUUAUGUAAGUCAGGGGUGAAAUCCCACGGCUCAACCGUGGGACUGCCCUUGAUACUGCACGACUUGAAUCCGGGAGAGGGUGGCGGAAUUCCAGGUGUAGGAGUGAAAUCCGUAGAUAUCUGGAGGAACAUCAGUGGCGAAGGCGGCCACCUGGACCGGUAUUGACGCUGAGGUGCGAAAGCGUGGGGAGCAAACA
rnacentral:rRNA from 1 species